rnacentral:rRNA from 1 species
AUGGCAAUUUUAGUUGAUAAUUUUUCUAAGUAUCAUAUGAAAUUUUUACUUCAUUUCCAUGGCAAAUUUACUUUUAUUUUCCAUGGCAAAUUUUUAAUUUUUUUUGCGAUGGCAAAUUUUACUCUUUCUUGCCAUGGAAAUUUUACUUUAAUGACAUGGAAAAUUUUACUUCAUUUUGCCAUGGCAAAUUUUACUCUUUCUUUGCCAUGGCAAGUUUUACCCUUUUUUUGCCAUGGCAAAUUUUAUAUCAUUUUUUCAUGGCAAAAUUUUACUCUUUCUUUUGCCAUGGAAAUUUUUACUUUAUUUUGCCAUGGCAAUUUUUACUCUUUUUUUUGCCAUGGCAAUGUUUACUUUUAG